CAAAUUAGAGCUUGUGUAUAAAUAAGUGUUUCAUUUACAUUGAAAAGAAAUUAAAGUUUAAUUAAUUUGA
rnacentral:tRNA from 1 species